ACGAACGCUGGCGGCAUGCCUAACACAUGCAAGUCGAACGAGACCUUCGGGUCUAGUGGCGCACGGGUGCGUAACGCGUGGGAACCUGCCCUUAGGUUCGGAAUAACUCCCCGAAAGGGGUGCUAAUACCGGAUAAUGUCUUCGGACCAAAGAUUUAUCGCCUUUGGAUGGGCCCGCGUUGGAUUAGCUAGUUGGUAGGGUAAAAGCCUACCAAGGCGACGAUCCAUAGCUGGUCUGAGAGGAUGAUCAGCCACACUGGGACUGGGACACGGCCCAGACUCCUACGGGAGGCAGCAGUGGGGAAUAUUGGACAAUGGGCGAGAGCCUGAUCCAGCAAUGCCGCGUGAGUGAUGAAGGCCUUAGGGUUGUAAAGCUCUUUUACCCGGGAUGAUAAUGACAGUACCGGGAGAAUAAGCUCCGGCUAACUCCGUG
rnacentral:rRNA from 1 species